rnacentral:tRNA from 1 species
GGGGGAGUAACUCAGUAGGAAGAGGCCGGUUACGCUAAAACCGGAAGUCGGAGGUUCGAGUCCUCCCUCUCUCCA